rnacentral:tRNA from 1 species
GGAGGUCUAAUUCAGUGGUAGAGUGCAUGCUCAGCAUGCACAGGGUCCUGGGUUCAAUCCCCAGUACCUCCA